CUGAAUGCUAAGGAAACGAAAACUAGCACGUGGGUUAGAUAAUUCAGUAGGCGACCUCCAAAAAAUAAUUUAUUUCAGUACUUUACUGUUAUCUUUGGUGAUUAAAAACUCAUAUUAUUGGGUAAAAAUUAGAAUGUACUAUUCAGCUUGCUAUUAAGCAGGAAGACAAGCUUUCUAAUGACGGACAAGGAAGAUGAUGACUCCCAGCACAGAGCGAAUGAGGGUGACUCCGUUGUACUGAAACGGGGAGACAUCUAACGUUACAAAGCUGCGGAUUCAAAAGAAAAAGUUAGUCGUUACACAACUGUGCUCAUGCACAAUCACAUUAUCUAUUGGUGUGCAUUAGCUAACAAUGCUUGACAGUCAGGUCAAAUAUUUGCCUGUACUACCAACAUGCAAGCUAUGUGCCCGACCUCACUAAUGCUCUUGUAGCUGAAUGGAAGCAAGUCCCAGCAUCACUGUACCAACAUCUAGUGGAAAGCCUUCCCAGAAGAGUGGAGGCUGUUAUAGCAGCAACAGGCGGACCAACUCCAUAUCAAUGACCAUGAUUUUGGAAUGAGAUGUUUGACAAGCAGGUGUCCACAUACACUACAUAACCACAAGUAUGUCAACAUUUUAUGUCAAUUCUAUCGGAACGUACUGUAAUGUUGCGUUCGUCUGGAGACACCCGAACAGACUCCAUCUUGUGUCUCUAUCCUCUCUCCUCCAAGCUAUGGGUCAGUGAUGCAGAUGUACCCAGGAGGAGGCCCUGGGAAGGCGGGGGCAGAGAGCUUUGGCUUCCCCUCCCACUUCCACGAUAUGCUCCGUGAGCUUCCCAUCUGUCAUGUCAACGCACUGCUGGCAGGGACAAUGGGCACGGAGGCUAAAUACAUAGACGUGGGUGUGGGGAAUAUAAUCCUUUGACAGACCAACAAUGCUAUACUGUCUCAUUGAAUCAAUGCUAUACUGUCUCAUUGAAUCAAUGCUAUACUGUCUCAUUGAAUCAAUGCUAUACUGUCUCAUUGAAUCAAUGCUAUACUGUCUCAUUGAAUCAAUGCUAUACUGUCUCAUUGAAUCAAUGCUAUACUGUCUCAUCUAUUGAAUUGAUUGAUGUAUUGUCACCACUCUAGAUGCUGGACAGGCCAAUGGAGAUAAGUCCAACCUGACCCAGAGAAAGCAGAAGGCAAUGGGGGCAGCCCAGACACAGAGGACCAGAGCAUGGAGACUAGUACCAGUACAGACCCUGCCGAGGACAAGGAGAGGGAGAAACAGAGAGAGAUCAGAGUAUGACAACACAUAGUGAAGCAGCAAGUUGUCUCUGUUAUUUGUCACACUUCCUGGUGCUUGUGUGCUCCAAAGAUUUCAACGGUGUACAAUUGAAGAGCAACUGUGUGUUACAUUUCAGGCCCAGGAGAAGAUGGAGAAGAGGAAGAAACUGCUGCUGCUGCAGGUUGGUGAUAGCCAGUCGGUUUAACCCCUGUCCAGUUCUACUGGGCCUCAUCAAGUUCCUCGCCCCCUCCUCCUCGACCCUUUGCAGUGUACUCUCAAUAUAAAGAGCCUCUGAUAGAUUGCUGUACAAAGCUCAGGGAACAAGGCGGAUUGGUCAGCCUUCCUGGAUCAGACAUUACCAGGUGUUGCCUAACAGGACGCACCCUGUGCUGCUGAUGAGUGGGGGCGGGGCUUACCUCCUCUCCGGGAUGACCGUUACUACAGAUACGACUAAAGCAAAGACAGGCUCAACUACAGCAGAAGAGCCGGCCACAAAGAGACGUACUCAGAGACCACAGAGAGAUGACAAUAUUGAAGGAGGCCCAGAGUUUGUCUAAUUUAAAUCAUUGAUGACGUGAUUUACAUGUACUUGUGGAGAUGGGGAUAGAAUCACUGAAGUGUGUCUCCCUCCUGCUACCAGUUCUAAACGUUCAUGGUUGUUAUUCAGCCCUGGAGCUGCUCUCCAAAGCUCUAAGCUCCCAAAUGUAUCAUUUUGUUUGUAUUUUAUAGUCUUCUAGCAGAAAGUGCCAUGAUGUAAAGCAGCCAUUUGCUAUCACAGCCUCCUUACUGUGCUGCAUUAGUGGGAAUUUCUAUAAAUACAGUACUGUUAAAAUACUAUUACUCUUGAUAACCAACUGUGUUGAGAUACGUGUUCAUUUUGGUCCCAGAAUAAUUCAUUUUAUUAAAUGCAGACUGAACAAACAA